rnacentral:rRNA from 1 species
CCCUUAGAUGUUCUGGGCCGCACGCGCGCAACACUGACGAAGUCAGCGAGCAUGUCCUACGCCGACAGGUGCGGGGAAUCUUGUCAAACUUCGUCGUGAUGGGGAUUGAUUAUUGAAAUUCUUGAUCAUCAACGAGGAAUUCCUAGUAAGCGCAAGUCAGCAGCUUGCGUUGAUUACGUCCCUGCCCUUUGUACACACCGCCCGUCGCUACUACCGAUUGAAUGGUUUAGUGAGAUCUUCGGAUUGGCGCCACUGCGGCUCAGCAAUGGGCUCGGUGGAUGCCGAAAAGUUGAUCAAACUUGAUCAUUUAGAGGAAGUAAAAGUCGUAACA